UUUAAGAAAUGAGGGAACUCCCCAUACUUUGUGCUUUCAGACUGUAUUUUCACUUAUAUCCUGUACUUCUCAGCAUCUAUCAGUACAAUAAAUGCCGUGCGGAUGAUUGAAGGAGAGAAUGUGUGAGCCUAGUGUAGAAGGACACAUUAGUCAUGAUGUGACUCUCAGUGAGGCAUAGGCAUUGGGAAGGGCCGUGCCCUGGCUGCACAAAAACACACUCAUUGCUCUCAUGUAAUAAAGCAGUGUUACACGACACCAGUCUGAACCAGCUGCUCUCUCCCCUGGGAUGUUCUCUCUAUAGAACACUACUUCUGAGAUCCGCCCGCCCUCCAAAGCCCCUUUUCACUAGCCCCCUCCCCCAUUUCACAGCACAUGGGGGGUGUUAUUGCAUGCUGCAUAGGGGGUUGCACUCAUUUACUCAUCAUCUAUAUGCCAGCAAGUUAGCACAGCACUGCAACUCCCACAAUCCUAAAGAUCUGUAUUGAGUUUUGUGUUUACUGUAUGCUCAGAUGCCCUGUUGUAUGGAUCUCUAAUCUGAAUUCUAUGUCACAAAACUCCCAACAGAGGCCGGGAAUCAGACUUCUGUCCCUGUGAGGGUGUAUAAGCAAGGGGGCUGAAGUGCACUUACAGUCUAAAGUGACCUGGGUUUUGCUCGACCAUUGCUAGUUGUUGUUUACCGUUCCAGUUCCCCUCCUUCUUCCUCAUUGGUUUCUCCUCGGAUAACAAAGAAGAAGACAUCUCCAUGUCCAACAUCAUGAAUUGCAGCGAUACAUCCCGACUGAGGAGUCUUUUGACUCAGCUUCUUCAGGAACUUGGCAAGGCCAACAGCACCAGUGCCCCGGCGGAAGAUGUAGAUAGCGACGAUGCCUACAUGUAUAUUCUGCUCAUCAUGAUCUUCUAUGGAUUCAUGGCCGGUGGUCUUAUAAUGGCUUAUACCAGAUCCAGAAAGCAGGAGUCCAAAAACGACCCUUACCACCUGUACAUAGAAAGUGAAUGGGCUAAGAAAGCCAAGAAUAUGCCUACUGCUUUGGAUUGCCAGCAAAGGGGCAGUAUUGAAAGUGAACAGUUAUUAUAAAGACGUUAUAACGCAGUAACAUGAUGGCCCUCAGUCCAUAAAGAUAUGGGCAGACCUUGUACUUUGGCUGGUCUCAGAGUGGAUUCCAGUUGGGCUCAGAAAUUCCUAUACUCAAAAUGCUACUGUGUAUCCUGUAAAGCAAAAUGCAUGAAUCAAAUGCAUAUAUAAGAAGAUGGUUGUUGCAGGCUGUCCAGUUGGAUAAUAUUGUAGCUGUAGAGAGUUGCAAAUUGAUCUCAGCCCAGCAUCACAUAUGUUAACCCUUUCCCGGAUAUCUGAGGGUCUAUCUAGAGCUGGGAAUAAACAUUUUAAAGCUGUGCUUGCAUGGACAAGGCUAACUGUGUUCUUUCUCUCUCUCGUAAAGUGCCGGGUUUUAUGGCUGGAAAUGAAGCUAUUUUUAUAUCACUGCACAUUGUUUUGGAAUCUUGUAUUAAACCCAUUGUUUACAUUAAAAAUUGCUGUAGGAUUUGGAUAUCUGGAUCCAUUUGUAGAAUGUUGUAAACUGUUGCAGUCACAAAUACAAAAAUGCUGGCUUUAACAGAUACACUCUCUGUGCACUUCAGUGCAUAGUCCCACUCAAAUGUACAGAUGCAGAAAAGGGCUGGUAUUUAGUAAAUACGUGUAACCUUUACACUUUACUCUAGUAUGAAAUUGGUAUCUUUUUUCCAGUAGGGGAAAAGAAUCAUAUACAUCUAAAUCAUCAGGAUAACAGUCAAUUGCUGCCUGCUUAGCAUCCCAGUGUAACAGUAGCAUGCUAGGGGCUAACAUUAACAUGGCAAAUAUGUGCGCAUAUGCAGUAAUCUGUUAUUCAGUUCAGUUGAAUGCAGUUAUGGUAAUGGCCUUGCUUUUUAUGUGUUAAUGUACUGGGCCAAAUAUGCAUCCUGUCACUGCCUAAGCCCAUUUGCUUCUGACACCACAGGUAAUUGAAUUUUUUGUUUGUUGUGGAUAAAAUAAAGGCAUGGCAUGUUGAAAUAA